rnacentral:rRNA from 1 species
GCCGACGAUGCGUAGGGGUUCUGAGAGGAAGGUCCCCCACAUUGGAACUGAGACACGGUCCAAACUCCUACGGAGGGCAGCAGUGAGGAAUAUUGGUCAAUGGCCGGAAGGCUGAACCAGCCAAGUCGCGUGAGGGAAUAAGGCCCUACGGGUCGUAAACCUCUUUUGCCAGGGAGCAAUGCCGUCCACGUGUGGACGGAAGGAGAGUACCUGGAGAAAAAGCAUCGGCUAACUCCGUGCCAGCAGCCGCGGUAAUACGGAGGAUGCGAGCGUUAUCCGGAUUUAUUGGGUUUAAAGGGUGCGUAGGCGGCCUGCCAAGUCAGCGGUAAAAUUGCGGGGCUCAACCCCGUACAGCCGUUGAAACUGCCGGGCUCGAGUGGGCGAGAAGUAUGCGGAAUGCGUGGUGUAGCGGUGAAAUGCAUAGAUAUCACGCAGAACCCCGAUUGCGAAGGCAGCAUACCGGCGCCCGACUGACGCUGAGGCACGAAAGUGCGGGGAUCAAACAGGAUUAGAUACCCUGGUAGUCCGCACAGUAAACGAUGAAUGCUAGCUGUCCGGGGGGAUUGACCCCUGG